UCCAGAAAGCCAGUUAAAGAGCAAUUAAUCAAGUCUUUUGCUCUUAAGAGGAUGGCAGAACUAUUCAGGAGGUGGAAGAAAGAGCUGAAUAAGUUUGUCGAAAAUAAAGAGACACCAGAAUUCAAGGGCAGAUAUGAGAAGAUCAGAGAUCACUGGCCCGCAUUUGUGGCCCACAAGACAUCGGAAAAGAGUAAGAAGAUGUCGGCGACAAACAAGCAAAAUGCUGCGAAGAAGAAGCAUCACCAUCGCACGGGGUCAGGUGGCUACCUCGUAGCCCGGCCUAAGUGGGCCAAGAUUGAGAAUGAUCUGGUUGAAAAAGGGAUCGAACCAGAGACAAUUAACUGGCCGGACCGUUGCCGGACUUGGUUCUUUGGGGCUGGCGGAACCUUGGACCCUGUAACAGGGAAGUGCAUUUGGACGAACGAUCAAAUGGACAUACCAGUCAGGAAGCUUCAGCAGUAUAUUGAAGCAGCGCAACAAGGGACGUUCUUUCCAGACAGAGAGAACGACGAGCUCACAAUGGCCCUCGGGAAUCCUGAGCACCCUGGACGGACACGAGGCAUGCCAGGCUCCAUUUCAUGGAAGGUUGGGUUUCCAGACACAGGCGGUUACAAAUCCCAGGAGAGGAGGAAAAAAUUGCAGCAGACCCAAAUGCAGGCGCUGCAAGCAAGGGUACAAGUGAUAGAGGAA
rnacentral:rRNA from 1 species